UCAAGUUAUUAAGGGUGCAGGGCGGAUGCCUUGGCACUAGGAGCCGAUGAAGGACGUGAUAAGCUGCGAUAAGCUUCGGGGAGUUGCACGUAAACUUUGAUCCGAAGAUUUCCGAAUGAGGAAACUCACUUAGAGUAAUGUCUAAGUAUCAUUAAGUGAAUACAUAGCUUAAUGAGGGGAACUCAGGGAACUGAAACAUCUAAGUACCUGAAGGAAGAGAAAGAAAUUCGAUUCCGUAAGUAGCGGCGAGCGAACGCGGAUUAGCCCAAACCAAUAAAGUUUUCUUUAUUGGGGUUGCGGACAUAUCAUAACGAAGAGGUAUCGUAAUUGAAGAGGUUUGGAAAGACCCACCACAGAAGGUAAUAGUCCUGUAUGUUAAACGAGAAGACUUUAGAUAUGAUCCAGAGUACCACGGGACACGUGAAACCCUGUGGGAAGCAGGAGGGACCACCCUCCAAGGCUAAAUACUACCUAGUGACCGAUAGCAUAUAGUACCGUGAGGGAAAGGUGAAAAGAACCCCGGGAGGGGAGUGAAAUAGAACCUGAAACCCUGCACUUACAAGCUGUGGAAGCACAUUUCUUGUGUGACCGCGUACUUUUUGUAGAACGGGCCAACGAGUUACGUUAAGUAGCAAGGUUAAGCACUUAAGGUGCGGAGCCGUAGCGAAAGCGAGUUUUAACUGAGCGUUCAGUUACUUGACGUAGACCCGAAACCGGGCGACCUACCCAUGAGCAGGAUGAAGCGAAAGUAAAAUUUCGUGGAGGUCCGAACCACGAGCGUUGAAAAGCUCGGGGAUGACUUGUGGGUAGCGGUGAAAUUCCAAUCGAGCCCGGAGAUAGCUGGUUCUCCCCGAAAUAGCUUUAGGGCUAGCCUCAAGGUGAGAGAUACGGAGGUAGAGCACUGAAUGUCCUAGGGGGUAUUGCACCUACCGAAGACUAUCAAACUCCGAAUGCCGUCAUCUUAUACUUGGAGUCAGACUGUGGGUGAUAAGAUUCAUAGUCGAAAGGGCAACAGCCCAGAUCGUCAGCUAAGGUCCCUAAAUGUAAGUUAAGUGGUAAAGGAUGUGGGAUUGCACAGACAACCAGGAUGUUGGCUUAGAAGCAGCCACUCAUUCAAAGAGUGCGUAAUAGCUCACUGGUCGAGUGAUCCUGCGCCGAAGAUUUCCGGGCUAAAACUUACUACCGAAGCUACGGCAUCAGUAAUGAUGGGUAGGGGAGCUUCCCAUACGGGUUGAAGCAUGACCGUAAGGACAUGUGGACAGUAUGGGAGUGAGAAUGUUGGCAUGAGUAGCGAGAUGUGGGUGAGAAUCCCACAGGCCGUAAACCAAGGUUUCCAGGGGAAGGUUCGUCCGCCCUGGGUUAGUCGGGACCUAAGCUGAGGCCGAAAGGCGUAGGUGAUGGACAACAGGUUGAUAUUCCUGUACUACCGAUAACCGUUUGAGAGAAGGAUGACACAGUAGGAUAAGCUAAGCACACUGUUGGUUAUGUGUGCCCAAGCAUUGAGGCAGUCAAAGUAGGCAAAUCCGCUUUGAUAAUGCUGGGAUGUGAUGGGGAGCGAAAUUUAGUAGCGAAGUAGCUGAUUUCACACUGUCAAGAAAAGUCUCUAUCGAGGUUUAAAGGUACCCGUACCGCAAAACCGACACAGGUGGGUGAGGAGAGUAUCCUAAGGCCAGCGAGAGAACUGUUGUUAAGGAACUCGGCAAAAUGACCCCGUAACUUAGGGAUAAGGGGUGCCACCAUCAGGUGGCCGCAGAGAAUAGGCCCAAGCGACUGUUUACCAAAAACAUAGGUUUCUGCUAAGUCGCAAGACGAUGUAUAGGAGCUGACGCCUGCCCGGUGCUGGAAGGUUAAGGGGAUCUGUUAGAGCAAUCGAAGCAGUGAACUUAAGCCCCCAGUAAACGGCGGCCGUAACUAUAACGGUCCUAAGGUAGCGAAAUUCCUUGUCGGGUAAGUUCCGACCCGCACGAAAGGCGUAACGAUUUGGGCACUGUCUCAACAACAGACUCGGUGAAAUUGUAAUUCCGGUGAAGAUGCCGGAUACCUGCGACAGGACGGAAAGACCCCAUGGAGCUUUACUGUAGCUUGACAUUGGGUCUUGGUACUACAUGUACAGGAUAGGUGGGAGGCUUUGAAACCAGGACGCCAGUUUUGGCGGAGCCAUCCUUGGGAUACCACCCUUGUAGUACUGGGACUCUAACCAUAGGCCAUGAAUCUUGGUCUU
rnacentral:rRNA from 1 species